rnacentral:misc_RNA from 1 species
AACCAUUCUCACCUGCGGCUAGACCUGCGGAGGGAUCAUUACUGAGGAGGGUCCAUGGCCCGAUCUCCAACCCUUUGAUAAAAACACCAUGUUGCUUUGGCAGGCCCGCCCGUUGGGGCCGCGGGGGAUCGCCGGUCCCUAGCCCGUGCCUGCCGGUAGCCUUCACAAAACUCUCAAAAUGUUGUCGUCUGAGAUGAUUAGAAUAAUAAAACUUUUAACAACGGAUCUCAGAUCGGAAGA